rnacentral:rRNA from 1 species
UACGUAGGGUGCAAGCGUUAAUCGGAAUUACUGGGCGUAAAGCGUGCGCAGGCGGUUAUGUAAGACAGGUGUGAAAUCCCCGGGCUUAACCUGGGAACUGCAUUUGUGACUGCAUAGCUAGAGUACGGUAGAGGGGGAUGGGAUUCCGCGUGUAGCAGUGAAAUGCGUAGAUAUGCGGAGGAACACCGAUGGCGAAGGCAAUCCCCUGGACCUGUACUGACGCUCAUGCACGAAAGCGUGGGGAGCAAACAGG